AGAACAAGACACCCAGCAGUGGGCACAGAGCGCAGCCACGGCUUCCAGGAACCCCGCUCUGCUGCAUCCCGACAGGUCUCCAGAAGUUUGCACACCUUGUUUACGGCUCCCGAUAACCACACAGCCCGUCGCUUUUUCCGGAAAUGCUGGAAGAGGACCACCACAAUUACUAUUAUGACCAUCAGUGCACAAGCGGAGCCAAUGGCCAGAGCCAGGAAGUGGAUCUCAGAGAAGCGUACUGUAAGGAGAAAAGAUCAAGUUGGGAUUCUGAAAAGAGGAGGCCUGUGAUGAAAUCUAAAGAUAUAAUAGGGAUGUGUUUUCAUCCUUAAAUGAAAUAUUCCUUUCUUCUACCAUAUUAAGUGUGUAAACUCUGGAAGCAAUAGGAAAGCCAUACAGACUCCUUUAGUGGUUCUCAAACUAUGGUCCUAGGAGGAGCAGCUACAGAAUGACUUGAGAACUUCAAAAGGCGAGUUCCAUCAGGCCCCACCGCAGAUCUACCCAAUUACAGGUGGGGCCCAGCAACGCGUUCUAACUUGUCCUCCAGGUGAUUCUGUUGCAUGCAAAAAAUUUGAGAAUCACUGGGGCAGGUAACCUAGCUAAUGGGGUAAGGUUAUUGCUGACCUAAUCAAAUCCAGUGUUUAUUUCUCCCUGAAUCCUCCUCACCUCUGUCAUUCAGUCAUUUAUUCAGGUUUAUUAAGAGUCCUAGUAAUAAAAGUCCUUUAUUAGGACUUUUAUUUUUACUUUUAUUAUGUCCUAGCACUUUUUGGUAGAAAUACAAAGCCAGAAAAGACAUUACCUUCAAGGAACUGAUGCCCACAGGAAAGAGAGGCAAGUAACUGUACUCUAGUGGAUCAAUGAGGUAAGAGAGAACCCAGAGGGAAGGGUCCCUAAACAAGGUUAGAGACUGUGAAGUCUGGGUCUCUUGAUUUUGAGCUUGAUUUCUGAUCUAAAUUUCAAAAAACCUAGAGCUAGAAAGGACAUUAGCGAAUAUCUAGCCCAGGGGUUCCCCAGCCUCAUGUCUGUAAAGGAAGACGGCAGGGAAGCGGGGGUGAAGGAGAACAAACCCACGAAAUCCAUGUCAGAUUGUGUGCCUUGUUUGAGGUAAACAGGGCUUAGGGGUUAGGCUUUCAUAGGUCCUCAGAGGAGUCAUCCCAGUAUGUUUAAGACCCAUGGGUUCUUAGCUACCUGUUCAUUUCGCAAAGAAGAAACUGAGAUCCAAAGACAUUACAUUACUUCUUUCCACACUCAAAUGACUUCUCCAAAGUCACACAGCUCUCUGUUGAUAGGGCCUUGAAGGAUGAUGCUAGGACUAAAAGGAUUUCAUACCAUUUUAUAGGCUUUUAUGUUUUGGAUAGUAACGUAUUGGUUAAGAGAAUACACCAACGACAGCUAGGUUAAAAUACCAGCUCCUAUGUGACUUGGGUAGUUAACUUCUUUGAGCCUCAGUUUCUUCAAUGUAUAAAGUAGAGAUAACAAUACUCAUUUCUUGAGUUCUUAUAAAAAAAUAAAAUUGCUUAUGUAAAUUG